AAACUUACAGGAAAAAAAAAAAACUUUUUUUAAACAAAAAAAAAAUAAAUUCAACUUUUGUUAUAAAAACCGAAGAUAUUUCAUCUACCAAGUGUUGCAUAGUGUAUCAAACGAAGAUUUUCGCAAAAUUCGGAUCAUAUUUCUAAAAAUAGAGAAAACGGAACAAUAUCAACUUUUCAAGUGAGAAAAAUUGAAACCCGGAAAAUUAUUUGAAUUGUCGAGAAGUGAACAGAACAGGACAUUCGCCAUGCUGACCAGACUUCAGUCUGUGGCCAUCAUUGUCUGCCUCGUGUACGUGCCUCAAUUCA
rnacentral:sRNA from 1 species